rnacentral:lncRNA from 1 species
CUGAGCUCUGCCAAUGCCUCGCUGCAGCUAAGGGUGUGCAGCCAAGAGCUGUACCGGUGCUGGUUCUGUCCCUGCCUGCUGCACUGCAGGACCCUCGGAGGGAUGAAUGGAGAGAGUGAAUGGAACCAAGCCAAAGCAUAGCAGUGGCUGCGGGCUUUGGCUAUGGAUGGGACCAGCUGGUGACCUCUUUGGUAGGGCAUGGCCAGGAUGCUUCUGCAAGGAGACGUGGCUGGGAACCCAAAAUCCCUCUCCUGCCCGUGCCCCAGCCCCUUCCUGCAAACACUUCUUACCAAGCAGCCAGGAUUGUCUGGAAAGCGUUCCUUGUGAGAGACAAACUGGAUCUGUUACUUAGCCAGACCUAAAGCCAGAAGCAGAAGGAAACAGGCGAGCGCUUUCCAAGCCACAUGCUCUGCGUGCAGAUCAAAGCAAAACCUCCCCCCUCCUUCACAGGGGGUUGAUUUGACGUGGUUCUCCAGCUGUGAGCUGCUGUCGAGAGGUGCUCAGGACCAGAGCGGGGCUGUGUUUGGUGCUCUGACUGAUGGGCAACACGGCUGCAAAACCCCAGCCCCGCCGUGACCCAGCGCGUGGGUUUUGGAUAGGGCAGAAGCUCAGAGCAGGUGGUGGGCAUCCUCUGUGCCUUGCUCCAUCCUGGGGACUGCAUGCUGUCUGCAUGCUGCUGCCAGAUCCCUGCCACGGGCACCAAUAUGCUGGACCAGAAUACCAACGAGUAUACUCCAGUUGCCCUGUUGCAUUCAGCCUGCCCCACUGGGCAACAUCUCUGCAAACCAUCCGUAGCCCAGUCAGUCCCUUAUCCCUCGGGCUUUCACUGAACCCUUUUGUCCGAACCCUUUCCCAAGGCUAUAUGAGCUCUUCGCAUUCUGCUGCUCCUUUUUCCCCAGGAGAGUUUCCUUGAGGACCAUCCACCCCCAAAGACAAUGUCAUCCCCAAACCUGCUCAACCAACUGCCCUACAAACCACCAUCACUGUGGGACAGAGAGCUG